CCUACGGGAGGGAGUGCAGAGGAAUAUUGGUCAAUGGGCGAGAGCCUGAACCAGCCAAGUCGCGUGAAGGAUGAAGGAUCUAUGGUUUGUAAACUUCUUUUAUAUGGGAAUAAAGUGAGGAACGUGUUCCUUUUUGUAUGUACCAUAUGAAUAAGCAUCGGCUAACUCCGUGCCAGCAGCCGCGGUAAU
rnacentral:rRNA from 1 species